rnacentral:rRNA from 1 species
CUACGGGGCGCUGCAGUCGAGAAUCUUUGGCAAUGGACGAAAGUCUGACCAAGCGACGCCGCGUGCGGGAUGAAGGCCUUCGGGUUGUAAACCGCUGUCAGUUGGGAGGAAAUCACAUGGGGUCCUCUCCAUGUGUUGACCUAUCUUCAGAGGAAGGACGGGCUAAGUUCGUGCCAGCAGCCGCGGUAAGACGAACCGUCCAAACGUUAUUCGGAAUCACUGGGCUUAAAGGGUGCGUAGGCGGCCCUGUAAGUUGGGUGUGAAAUCCCUCGGCUCAACCGAGGAAUUGCGCCCAAUACUGCAGGGCUAGAGGGAGACAGAGGUGAGCGGAACUUGUGGUGGAGCGGUGAAAUGCGUUGAUAUCACAAGGAACACCUGUGGCGAAAGCGGCUCACUGGGUCUCUUCUGACGCUGAGGCACGAAAGCUGGGGGAGCGAACGGGAUUAGAUACCCUUGUAGUC